rnacentral:rRNA from 1 species
UACGUAGGGAGCGAGCGUUGUCCGGAUUCAUUGGGCGUAAAGAGCUCGUAGGCGGCUUGAUAAGUCGGAUGUGAAACCUCCAGGCUCAACCUGGAGUCGCCAUCCGAUACUGUCAUGGCUAGAGUCCGGUAGGGGCCCACGGAAUUCCUGGUGUAGCGGUGAAAUGCGCAGAUAUCAGGAGGAACGACCGGUGGCGAAGGCGGUGGGCUGGGCCGGCACUGACGCUGGAGGAGCGAAAGCGUGGGGAGCGAACAGG